CAGUAGCCGCGGGAAUACGGAGGGUGCAAGCGUUAAUCGGAAUUACUGGGCGUAAAGCGCACGCAGGCGGUCUGACAAGUCAGAUGUGAAAUCCCCGGGCUUAACCUGGGAACUGCAUUUGAAACUGUCAGGCUGGAGUCUUGUAGAGGGGGGUGGAAUUCCAGGUGUAGCGGUGAAAUGCGUAGAGAUCUGGAGGAAUACCGGUGGCGAAGGCGGCCACCUGGACAAAGACUGACGCUCAGGUGCGAAAGCGUGGGGAGCAAACAGGAUUAGAUACCCCUGUAGUCCCUGUCUCUUAUAC
rnacentral:rRNA from 1 species